rnacentral:misc_RNA from 1 species
GUGGUGCUUUUUAUCAUUUGUUGCUGUUCUAAUGCAUUUAAACCUGAAGAUGCUUAAACCUUCUUCCUUUUGAUCACAUCAAUAUUUGCCCCACAAGUCAUGUGCAUGUGCUUUUUCCCCCUCACAAUGCCAUUCUGUCAAGGUAACAGCAUUAAGGUAGCACCAAAAAGAAUAGACACAAAGAAAAGGAACAAAUCCAUAAGAAAAACAGAACUAAUUUUCAGUUGUAUUAUGCUUAAAUAAUUGUCAUAUCAUAGUCUGAAAAUUAUGAAAAUAACUAGGCCUAUUUGUAGUGUUUGUAUAACCCUGGAAACUUUAGGAUUAGAAAUCCCAAUCUAAUUAGGAGUACAUAAUCAUAAAUCUCUACAAUUUCUAUUUUCCAUAUUUUUUCCUAAAAUAAGUAUCCCUAAAAUCUCUAGGAGUAGGAUUUGCGUCAUUGUCCCCUGGUUGAAAAGAACUCAAUUCCAUAGAGUUGAUUUGCAAAUAAGCA